UGCGUUCCAUGCUUCGGAAACGUUUCGGUUUUCGAAACUGCCUGAAAGGAGACGAAACGUUUUGGGGCAGUUUUGGUAAUUUGGGAGAAAAGGGAAAUGCGUUUCUGCGGAAUACUCUUUCGAUCUUAUGCAACAAAAAAACUUAAUCGUCUCCUCUCCAUGUUUGUCAGCCUGUCAUGAAUCUCUCCAUCUCCGGUGUCUAAAAUUUUGACCUUCGCAGGCAUCUUGAAGUCUCAGUGAAUGUAUCUCCGGCUUCAUCAGAGUGCAUCCUUGACUUUGACACUCUGUUCUGUCUCCGGCUUGGUAGCUUUAUGCUUUAGAAUCUUGCUGAGCAGCUCGAAUGUAGUGUGAGUGACGGACCUCAAUUGCUUGGGUUGCAUUUCUUCUAUAUAAUCUUAUGAAUCUCAACAAUGAUUGUUUUUCACUUGAACCAUGACGUGAAGUUCUUGUAUCUUGAUGCAUUGUGUUAAGGGUUUAUCUUCAGGACAAUUUUUCCAUUUGUCGCUUUCUAGGCAAUGAUCUUCAGGCCUUGGCACAAUCAAACCUUACAAAAAAAAAAUUGACUGUUUGAGCCCAAUGGUACAAUCCCUCCCUUUAACUUCUGUUACCAAGACAUUUCUCUGUUACCAACAGGGUAUCAGAUGAAUUGUUCUUAGGUGGGAAUCUUCAAGAAAAUACAAGAAAUUUCUAUCCAACAAGCUUCAAGAAAUACCAAAGGAACUUCGAUUUUAUCAAUUUCUUCUGUUGUUCUAUCUUCAAGGUACUUAGAUAACCUUCCUAAGAUGUUAUGGUUCUGAACAUGUGUAUCAUUUUUGUUUUCUCACAGGGCUUCUGCCAAGGAAUGCUACCGAUUGGAUCUUUCCAAAUUAAAUUUUAGCCCUAUGAAAAUUGAAAAUUCAAUAUGUCAGUUCUAAAAUUUUGUGAAACUUAUUGAUCAUAAAUUUGUUUGAUACUUGAAAUAAUACUAUACAAUAUUUUUAUACUA